rnacentral:rRNA from 1 species
UGAGGAAUAUUGGUCAAUGGGCGAGAGCCUGAACCAGCCAAGCAGCGUGCAGGAUGACGGCCCUAUGGGUUGUAAACUGCUUUUAUAUGGGAAUAAAGUGAGGGACGUGUCCCUUACUGAAUGUACCAUACGAAUAAGGACCGGCUAAUUCCGUGCCAGCAGCCGCGGUAAUACGGAAGGUCCAGGCGUUAUCCGGAUUUAUUGGGUUUAAAGGGAGCGUAGGCUGUUUGUUAAGCGUGUUGUGAAAUGUAAGAGCUCAACUUUUAGAUUGCAGCGCGAACUGGCAGACUUGAGUGCGCACAACGUAGGCGGAAUUCAUGGUGUAGCGGUGAAAUGCUUAGAUAUCAUGACGAACACCGAUUGCGAAGGCAGCUUACGGGAGCGCUACUGACGCUAAAGCUCGAAGGUGCGGGUAUCGAACAGG